GUUGAAUAGUUCUGGAUGCCAAUCUCAGCUAAGCUCCUCUUAACGUCCCCCAGUGCCAUGAGAACAUCUUUUGUAGGGAUGACACCCUGUUCCCCUGCCAGUGUCAUUAGCAAGUGCUUGUCGUUCUCAUUGGGUUUGCUCAGAGAGAUCAGCCAGUGGUCCUGCAGUCCAUCUGUCUGUCUGGAGAAAGCAUCCUCCACCAGCGCCAACAGCUGAGGACCCCUCUCCAG
rnacentral:lncRNA from 1 species